GGGAAUUUAUGUCCCUAAUCGCCUCACAAACCGAUUAAUGAUUCACGGAUCUAAAACUUGAAUAUGACACAAAAGAAUUUGAUAACCGAGUUCCCGGCCUCUAACCGGUACAAACUCAGUAAGUACAAGAUCAAAGACACAAAAGAACAAAAAGGAGAAAGCUUCUUGAGAACUCUAACGUUUUUUCUCUUUCUCUAGAACCCUCUUUUGCUGUCUUUUGCUGUUUUGUUUUCCUUAUACGUUGUAAUAGAGAUAUAUAGGUGAUAUAUUUGGGCCACAAAUUAUUGCCCACACCUUUGUUCUUCUUCUCCAUGCCAAUUUCGUUUGGCCCACAUAGACCCAAAUGCUGUGUUUAGUGAAACCCAAAUAACAAUCUCCACCUUUUGACCAAACACAGAGCUUCGACGAAAUCGACAUCUGAAACCAACCUCUCCACUUUCUCCUGUCCGUGAAGCCAAAACGUCACCACCAAUCGCCUUCUCCUCCGGCGAUAUACUCCGGCGACGUCCUCCAUCUCCGAUUAUCAUCUCCACCAAUCUCCUCCGAGUUUCCUCUUGUUCCCGUGAUGAAGAGAAGAUGGUAAAAAUCGAAAUCGUUUUAGAUUCCGACCACAGCCUUCUCCGAUGGCUACCUCCGGUGAAAGCAAGCUUCAGCUUCCACCUGUUCCACGGCGGCUCACAAUUUUGACGAAUCAAGAGACAUCUCCUUCAUCACUGCCAACGAAUCUGAAGCUUCUCCAAUGAAUCAAAAGCUUCUUCUUCGUCUCCUCCGGUGAAUCGGACCAUCGCCGUCACCAUUCAUCUCAGCUCAGGAGAUCGGCUCCGUUUCUCUGACGAAGCUUUUGUGCUUCUCAUCCUCUGCAUACCCCAGGUGACAAACUCCAUCACGCUCAGUCACAUCCGAUCCUCAGAAAUCUUCAAGAAGCAUCACAACCUUGAAUCACCUCUGCCUGACCAAUUCCUACAAUCUCAUAGUCUGAUGUGAUUCUCUAACCAAAUUUCUCUCCGAAACUUUCAUAAGCUGCUCCACCUGGAACCGAUCACUCUACAUCACGGCUCCACAAUUUCCGCAGCUCUACCUGAGAUAACUUAAUCUCAAAAUUCCUUCCUUGAAAGCUGCUUAUGACGAGAGCACAACCUUUUAUAAUGUUUCCUAUGACUUCAGCUCCACCUAGAACCAGAAUCUACACCUUGUGACUUCCGAUUCCUCACAGGUACAAACUCAGUAAGUACAAGAUCAAAGACACAAAAGAACAAAAAGGAGAAAGCUUCUUGAGAACUCUAACGUUUUCUCUCUUUCUCUAGAACCCUUUUUUGCUGUCUUGUCUCAACUACCACCACUAUCCCUUAUACGUUGUAAUAGAGAUAUAUAGGUGAUAUAUUUGGGCCACAAAUUAUUGCCCACACCUUUGUUCUUCUUCUCCAUGCCAAUUUUGUUUGGCCCACAUAGGCCCAAAUGCUGUGUUUAGUCAAACCCAAAUAACACUCAGAACUUGCUUAAAUCUUAAUGCAUUCAGUUUGACCAAAAAAAAAAAAAA